CUCUUGAAAUCCAGCCACUACGUACAGAAGCCCAAGCCAACCUCAGGGUGAGGCCACAUGGAGAAAGAGACCCUGAGGCAUCCUAUCACGCCUGCCAAGGUGCCAGAUGUGUCAGUAAAGCCAUUUCCAAUACUCCUGUCACAGACACCAUUUGACUGCUAUUGCACAAGAAACCCCAAACUAUACUAGCAGGACUAAGCAACUGCACCCCAGUCACCCACAGAAUCGUGGGAGAUAGUAAAAUGGUUCUUUGGCUACAGAGUUUUGAGAUGUUCAUUAUGUGGCAAUAGAUAAAGUACCGGAAGUCAGGAUCAAGGGCUGUUAACCACUCCCAGACCAUCUCCAGGGACAGGAAGCACCAAUCAUCACCCAACAAACAGCAUCCUCUUUUUGGAUUCUGGCCUGGCCUUGUAGCUUCCAAGUAGGGAGGCACCUGGCCCCUGAGGAUGUGAAGAUAAACCAAGAGACCCAGUCGAGGAGCUCCAGGUGCCUGAGAUGCAAGUAAGAAAAGUCUGAAGACAUGGAGGACCCCUGGCUCCUGGCUGACCACCUGAUCCCACCUGCACACAACCCCUACCGCUCCCCACAGUAUAGGAGUGAGGUCUCUGAUACCCACCUUCCUUACACUGUGCCUGCCUGGAGCCCUCAGCAGGCACAGCCAGCCGCUAGCAGAAGUGCCCCAACCUAACACUGACGUCCCCACCUCUAAUCAGAGGGAAUUCUCCACGUGCAGAGAACAAUGCUGUGACAGAUGCAGCAGACUUUAAAUCACAGGUCAGAACAUGCCUUUAAAAUUACUAGCGCAUGAGUUACCUAAUCAGACCGCAGCCUCCAUUGUCCCUGCUGCCCAGUUCCUCAGGGACAGGAUCUGAGCCCAGUUCAGCUCUGUGAUGAGGGGAGACCAGGGGAGCCACUGGGGCAGAUGGCAGUCGACAGAGACCAGGGACAGUGAGAACUGUUUACUGUGUGACCACAGGUCUCCAGAACACAGGCAUCAGCAGCUGGAAACAUCUCCACAUGCAAGUAUCACUGUGAUCUUAUAGGGAGGUCUUUUCUGUUUAUUCUAUUAAUGAUAACAUCCUUCCUUCUGGAACAGGCUCAUUAUUCUUGUUUUCAAUGAUACUGAAGAAGGAAAAGUAACUCACUCUUCAGAGAAACCAAAAACUGGAAUCCUUGCGUCCCUGGCAAGUAGCAACCAUGGUUGAAGGAGACUCCUUAGGCCUGUGUUCUGAGCUGGGGACCAAUGUGGAACUGCACCUCUCAGUGCUGAUGGGAGCCACUCUGCACUUGUGUCAGGAACUUUCCGACCCUUCUCCCCAAGUGACCCACUUAUCCAAUAUGAGUGAUUCAGGGCUCCUUAUUUUCUUCUUUGGACUCUCAGGCCAGUCUAGGGUUUGCACCAACAAGUGCUUUGUGAUGGUCAAUUUUAUGUGUCAACUUGACUGGGCCAUGGUGCCCAGAUAGAUGGUCAAACUUUGUUCUGGAUGUUUCUAUAAGGAUCUUUUAGAGUGAGAUCUAUAUUUAGAUUGGUGGACUUUGAGUAAAGUCGAUUGUUCUCCAAAACGACGUAAGUAGCCUUAUCCAAUCAGCUGAAGGCCUGAACAGAAGAAUGAUUUUCUUCGAGAAGAAGGAGUUGUGCAGCAGAUAGCCUGCGGACUUGAACUGCAACAUCGGCUCUUCUCUGGGUCUCCAGAGAUUGGACUUGGUAGCCUCUAUAAUCACAUGAAUCAGUUCCUUAAA